GGGUUGUGAGGUUAAGCGACUAAGCGUACACGGUGGAUGCCCUGGCAGUCAGAGGCGAUGAAGGACGUGCUAAUCUGCGAUAAGCGUCGGUGAGGUGAUAUGAACCGUUAUAACCGGCGAUUUCCGAAUGGGGAAACCCAGUGUGUUUCGACACACUAUCAUUAACUGAAUCCAUAGGUUAAUGAGGCGAACCGGGGGAACUGAAACAUCUAAGUACCCCGAGGAAAAGAAAUCAACCGAGAUUCCCCCAGUAGCGGCGAGCGAACGGGGAGGAGCCCAGAGCCUGAAUCAGUGUGUGUGUUAGUGGAAGCGUCUGGAAAGGCGCGCGAUACAGGGUGACAGCCCCGUACACAAAAAUGCACAUAUUGUGAGCUCGAUGAGUAGGGCGGGACACGUGGUAUCCUGUCUGAAUAUGGGGGGACCAUCCUCCAAGGCUAAAUACUCCUGACUGACCGAUAGUGAACCAGUACCGUGAGGGAAAGGCGAAAAGAACCCCGGCGAGGGGAGUGAAAAAGAACCUGAAACCGUGUACGUACAAGCAGUGGGAGCCUCUUUAUGGGGUGACUGCGUACCUUUUGUAUAAUGGGUCAGCGACUUAUAUUCUGUAGCAAGGUUAACCGAAUAGGGGAGCCGAAGGGAAACCGAGUCUUAACUGGGCGUUAAGUUGCAGGGUAUAGACCCGAAACCCGGUGAUCUAGCCAUGGGCAGGUUGAAGGUUGGGUAACACUAACUGGAGGACCGAACCGACUAAUGUUGAAAAAUUAGCGGAUGACUUGUGGCUGGGGGUGAAAGGCCAAUCAAACCGGGAGAUAGCUGGUUCUCCCCGAAAGCUAUUUAGGUAGCGCCUCGUGAAUUCAUCUCCGGGGGUAGAGCACUGUUUCGGCAAGGGGGUCAUCCCGACUUACCAACCCGAUGCAAACUGCGAAUACCGGAGAAUGUUAUCACGGGAGACACACGGCGGGUGCUAACGUCCGUCGUGAAGAGGGAAACAACCCAGACCGCCAGCUAAGGUCCCAAAGUCAUGGUUAAGUGGGAAACGAUGUGGGAAGGCCCAGACAGCCAGGAUGUUGGCUUAGAAGCAGCCAUCAUUUAAAGAAAGCGUAAUAGCUCACUGGUCGAGUCGGCCUGCGCGGAAGAUGUAA
rnacentral:rRNA from 1 species